CCUCCGGCACGCAAGCUUGCUCAUUCUUAGGACAUCUUUGUGUUAAUAUUGUAGUGCUCCACGGAAGAAGGAGCUCCCUGUGUGACCCCCUGAUCCAGCUCCCUGCCAGGUGAUGGAUGAACGAGACUAAGAGAGGGGGCAAAGGGACCAGAAUCGGUCAGGAAUAGCCAGGAGCCACGGAAGGGAGAGAG
rnacentral:lncRNA from 1 species